rnacentral:RNase_P_RNA from 2 species
AAAGGUUGACAGACAAUCGCUGGCGGCUUCGCGCCGCGAGAGGAAAGUCCGGGCUCCACAGGGCAGGAUGCUGGAUAACGUCCAGUCAGCGCGAGCUGAAGGAUAGUGCCACAGAAAUGGACCGCCGAUGGCUGCUUAGGCAGAUCAGGCAAGGAUGGAACCGUGGUGUAAGAGACCACGAGGGACACUGGCGACUUUGUCCCUGGUAAACCCCAUCUGGAGCAAGACCGAGGAGAACGCGGGGGCUUAGCGCCCCAGCCCUUGCCCGGGGUGCGUUCGGGUUGGUCGCUUGAGCCGUACAGCAAUGUGCGGCCUAGAAAGAUGAUUGUCGCUUCAAUCCGUGGGAGGAUCGCCUUUGCGCGAUCCGUUCUGACCACGAGAAGUACAGAACCCGGCUUACGGCAAGCUUUCCGG